rnacentral:rRNA from 1 species
AGAGUUUGAUCAUGGCUCAGGACGAACGCUGGCGGCGUGCUUAACACAUGCAAGUCGAACGGGGUCCAACCUCUCGCAAGAGAGGGGAAGACCUAGUGGCGAACGGGUGCGUAACACGUGAGGAACCUGCCACGAAGACCGGGACAACACCGGGAAACCGGUGCUAAUACCGGAUAUCCCCAUCGAAUCGCAUGGUUUGAUGAGGAAAUGGAUUCCGCUUUGGGAGGGCCUCGCGGCCUAUCAGCUUGUUGGUGAGGUAACGGCUCACCAAGGCUUCGACGGGUAGCUGGUCUGAGAGGACGACCAGCCACACUGGGACUGAGACACGGCCCAGACUCCUACGGGAGGCAGCAGUGGGGAAUCUUGCGCAAUGGGCGAAAGCCUGACGCAGCAACGCCGCGUGCGGGAUGACGGCCUUCGGGUUGUAAACCGCUUUCAGUAGGGACGAAAUUGACGGUACCUGCAGAAGAAGCCCCGGCCAACUACGUGCCAGCCGCCGCGGUAAUUC